CAGGCACCGUGGGGAGGGGCGCAAACUGAUGACGCACAAGCGCGCGCGGUGAGCUGAACAGCAUGGCGUCGGUGGCACUAAGUGAGGCUGAGAAGGUUUACAUCGUUCAUGGAGUGCAGGAAGACCUUCGGGUAGAUGGCCGUGGCUGUGAGGACUACCGAUGUGUUGAAGUAGAGACUGAUGUAGUGUCUAACACCAGUGGGUCUGCCAGAGUGAAGCUGGGUCAUACAGACAUCUUGGUGGGAGUGAAAGCAGAAAUGGGAACACCGAAGCUGGAGAAACCAAAUGAAGGCUACCUGGAGUUCUUUGUUGAUUGUUCAGCCAAUGCUACUCCAGAAUUUGAAGGGCGAGGAGGUGAUGACCUUGGCACAGAGAUCGCUAACACCCUCUACCGGAUAUUUAACAACAAGAGCAGCGUAGACCUGAGGUCCCUCUGCAUCAGUCCUCGGGAGCACUGCUGGGUUCUCUGUGUGGAUGUGCUGCUGCUGGAAUGUGGUGGGAAUUUGUUUGAUGCUAUUUCCAUUGCUGUGAAGGCUGCUCUCUUCAAUACGAGGAUACCAAGGGUUCGUGUUCUGGAGGAUGAAGAGGGGGCAAAGGACAUUGAACUGUCUGAUGAUCCUUAUGACUGCAUCCGACUGAGUGUGGAGAAUGUCCCCUGCAUUGUCACCCUGUGCAAGAUUGGCUGCCGGCAUGUGGUGGAUGCCACACUUCAAGAGGAAGCCUGUUCCUUGGCCAGUCUGCUAGUGUCAGUGACCAGCAAGGGAGUUGUGACAUGCAUGAGGAAGGUGGGAAAGGGAAGCCUGGAUCCUGAGAGCAUCUUUGAGAUGAUGGAGAGCAGCAAGCGAGUGGGCAAGGUGCUACACAUGUCUUUGCAGAGCAUUCUACACAAGGAAGAAAGCCUGGGGCCCAAGAGGCCAAAAGUCGGGUUCCUGGGAUGAUUUGUCAUCACUGCUGUGGUGGACAUUGGUUAUUUCACUUCUCCAUUGAGACUGACAGGGUUUCUCUGUAUAACAGCCCCAGCUGUCAUGGAAUUCUCUGUAGACCAGGCUGACCUCCAAUUCACAGAGAUCCACCUCAGCCUCCCAAGUGCUGGGAUUAAAGGCAUG